rnacentral:tRNA from 1 species
UCCCGAGUAGCUUGGCCGUAAAGAAACUGCCUGCAAUGCAGGAGACCCGGGUUCGAUCCCUGGGUCAGGAA